rnacentral:tRNA from 1 species
AGCAGCGUGGCUUAGUGGAAAGAGCACGGGCUUGGGAGUCAGAGGUUGUGGGUUCUAAUCACACCUCUGCUA